GAUCCUGGCUCAGGAUGAACGCUAGCUACAGGCUUAACGCAUGCAAGUCGCGGGGCAGCAUAGGGUUUUCAGCAAUGAAAUUCGGAUGGCGACCGGCGCACGGGUGAGUAACACGUAUCCAACCUGCCCUUUACUCGGGGAUAGCCUUGCGAAAGUAAGAUUAAUACCCGAUGGCAUUGGAUUCCCGCAUGGGGCUUCAAUUAAAGGUGUGAACUGGUAAAGGAUGGGGAUGCGUUCCAUUAGG
rnacentral:rRNA from 1 species